rnacentral:rRNA from 1 species
GAUGAACGCUAGCGGCAGGCCUAAUACAUGCAAGUCGAACGGUGUCUUCGGACAUAGUGGCGCACGGGUGCGUAACACGUAUGCAACCUACCUUACAUUGGGGGAUAGCCUUUCGAAAGGGAGAUUAAUACCGCAUAAGACAGUAGCUGGGCAUCCAGCAGCUGUUAAAGAUUUAUCGAUGUAAGCUGGGCAUGCGUCCAAUUAGCUAGUUGGUGAGGUAACGGCUCACCAAGGCAAUGAUUGGUAGGGGAACUGAGAGGUCAAUCCCCCACACUGGCACUGAGGUACGGGCCAGACUCCUACGGGAGGCAGCAGUAGGGAAUAUUGGGCAAUGGACGCAAGUCUGACCCAGCCAUGCCGCGUGCAGGAUGAAGGCGUUAUGCGUUGUAAACUGCUUUUAUACAGGAAGAAACGACUCUUGCGAGAGGCAUUAACGGUACUGUAUGAAUAAGCACCGGCUAACUCCGUGCCAGCCGCCGCCGUAAGAC